rnacentral:rRNA from 1 species
UACGGGAGGCAGCCUGUGAGGAAUAUUGGUCAAUGGACGAGAGUCUGAACCAGCCAAGUAGCGUGAAGGAUGACUGCCCUAUGGGUUGUAAACUUCUUUUAUACGGGAAUAAAGUGAGCCACGUGUGGCUUUUUGUAUGUACCGUAUGAAUAAGGAUCGGCUAACUCCGUGCCAGCAGCCGCGGUAAUACGGAGGAUCCGAGCGUUAUCCGGAUUUAUUGGGUUUAAAGGGAGCGUAGGCGGGUUGUUAAGUCAGUUGUGAAAGUUUGCGGCUCAACCGUAAAAUUGCAGUUGAUACUGGCGACCUUGAGUGCAACAGAGGUAGGCGGAAUUCGUGGUGUAGCGGUGAAAUGCUUAGAUAUCACGAAGAACUCCGAUUGCGAAGGCAGCUUACUGGAUUGUAACUGACGCUGAUGCUCGAAAGUGUGGGUAUCAAACAGGAUUAGAUACCCUGGUAGUCCACACAGUAAACGAUGAAUACUCGCUGUUGGCGAUAUACUGUCAGCGGCCA